rnacentral:rRNA from 1 species
CAGUCGACGAUGAAGUGGAGCUUGCUCCACGGAUUAGUGGCGAACGGGUGAGGAACACGUGAGAAACCUGCCUUUCAUUCUGGGAUAACACCGGGAAACCGGUGCUAAUACCGGAUACUCCGUCUUGGCGGCAUCGCCGAGCCGGGAAAAAAUUUUGAUGAAAGAUGGUCUCGCGGCCUAUCAGCUAGUUGGUGAGGUAAAGGCUCACCAAGGCGACGACGGGUAGCCGGCCUGAGAGGGCGACCGGCCACACUGGGACUGAGACACGGCCCAGACUCCUACGGGAGGCAGCAGUAGGGAAUAUUGGGCAAUGGGCGCAAGCCUGACCCAGCGACGCCGCGUGAGGGAUGAAGGUCUUCGGAUUGUAAACCUCUUUCAGUAGGGAAGAAGCGAAAGUGACGGUACCUAAAGAAGAAGCACCGGCUAACUAUGUGCCAGCAGCCGCGGUAAUACAUAGGGUGCAAGCGUUGCCCGGAAUUAUUGGGCGUAAAGAGCUCGUAGGUCGUUUGUCGCGUCGAUUGUGAAAAUCUGAGGCUCAACCUCAGACCUGCAGUCGAUACGGGCAAACUAGAGU